rnacentral:rRNA from 1 species
GAUGAACGCUGGCGGCGUGCCUAAUACAUGCAAGUCGAGCGAACGGACGAGAGGCUUGCUUCUCUGAUGUUAGCGGCGGACGGGUGAGUAACACGGGUAUAACCUACCUAUAAGACUGGGAUAACUUCGGGAAACCGGAGCUAAUACCGGAUAAUAUUUUGAACCGCAUGGUUCAAAAAUGAAAGACGGUCUUGCUGUCACUUAUAGAUGGAUCCGCUCUUCAUUAGCUAGUUGGUAAGGUAACGGCUUACCAAGGCAACGAUGCAUAGCCGACCUGAGAGGGUGAUCGGCCCCACUGGAACUGAGACACGGUCCAGACUCCUACGGGAGGCAGCAGUAGGGAAUCUUCCGAAAUGGGCGAAAGCCUGAAGGAGCAACGCAGCGUGAGUGAUGAAGGUCUUCGGAUCGUAAAACUCUGUUAUUAGGGAAGAACAUAUGUGUAAGUAACUGUGCACAUCUUGACGGUACCUAAUCAGAAAGCCACGGCUAACUACGUG